GCAUGCCUAAAACAUAGCUUUAAUGCACCAGAUCCCAUUAGAACUCUACAAUUAAGCGCGUUCAAGCUAGACUAGUACUGGGAUGGGUGACUUCUUAGGAAGUCCUAGUGUUUUACAUGCC
rfam:Picea glauca, whole genome shotgun sequence.